rnacentral:rRNA from 1 species
UGGUGGAGUGAUCUGUCUGGUUAAUUCCGAUAACGAACGAGACCUUAACCUGCUAACUAGUUACACGAACUUUUUAUCGUUCGUGGCUGACUUCUUAGAGGGACUAUCGGUGUUGCAACCGAUGGAAGUUUGAGGCAAUAACA